rnacentral:tRNA from 109 species
CGGUGAUUAGCGCAGCUUGGUAGCGCACUUGGUUUGGGUCCAAGGGGUCGCAAGUUCGAAUCUUGCAUCACCGACCA